CCUACGGGAGGCAGCAGUGGGGAAUUUUGGACAAUGGGCGCAAGCCUGAUCCAGCAAUGCCGCGUGAGUGAAGAAGGCCUUCGGGUUGUAAAGCUCUUUUGUCAGGGAAGAAACGGUGGGGGCUAAUAUCCCCUGCUAAUGACGGUACCUGAAGAAUAAGCACCGGCUAACUACGUGCCAGCAGCCGCGGUAAUACGUAGGGUGCAAGCGUUAAUCGGAAUUACUGGGCGUAAAGCGUGCGCAGGCGGUUUUGUAAGUUUGUCGUGAAAUCCCCGGGCUCAACCUGGGAAUGGCGAUGAAGACUGCAAGGCUAGAAUCUGGCAGAGGGGGGUAGAAUUCCACGUGUAGCAGUGAAAUGCGUAGAGAUGUGGAGGAACACCGAUGGCGAAGGCAGCCCCCUGGGUCAAGAUUGACGCUCAUGCACGAAAGCGUGGGGAGCAAACAGGAUUAGAUACCCUGGUAGUCCACGCCCUAAACGAUGUCUACUAGUUGUCGGGUUUUAAUUAACUUGGUAACGCAGCUAACGCGUGAAGUAGACCGCCUGGGGAGUACGGUCGCAAGNUUAAAACUCAAAUGAAAUUGACGGCNGAGAGNGCGACGACGACGACGAGGAGGAGG
rnacentral:rRNA from 1 species